GACGAACGCUGGCGGCGUGCUUAACCCAUGCAAGUCGAACGGAAAGGCCCUGCUUUUGUGGGGUGCUCGAGUGGCGAACGGGUGAGUAACACGUGAGUAACCUGCCCUUUACUUUGGGAUAACUUCAGGAAACUGGGGCUAAUACCGGAUAGGAGCUCCUGCUGCAUGGUGGGGGUUGGAAAGUUUCGGCUGUUGGGGAUGGACUCGCGGCUUAUCAGCUUGUUGGUGGGGUAGUGGCUUACCAAGGCUUUGACGGGUAGCCGGCCUGAGAGGGUGACCGGCCACAUUGGGACUGAGGUACGGCCCAGACUCCUACGGGAGGCAGCAGUGGGGAAUAUUGCACAAUGGGCGGAAGCCUGAUGCAGCAACGCCGCGUGCGGGAUGACGGUCUUCGGGUUGUAAACCGCUUUCGCCUGUGACGAAGCGUGAGUGACGGUAAUGGGUAAAGAAGCACCGGCUAACUACGUG
rnacentral:rRNA from 1 species